GAUGAACGCUGGCGGCGUGCCUAAUACAUGCAAGUCGAGCGAAUGGAUUAAGAGCUUGCUCUUAUGAAGUUAGCGGCGGACGGGUGAGUAACACGUGGGUAACAUGCCCAUAAGACUGGGAUAACUCCGGGAAACCGGGGCUAAUACCGGAUAACAUUUUGAACCGCAUGGUUCGAAAUUGAAAGGCGGCUUCGGCUGUCACUUAUGGAUGGACCCGCGUCGCAUUAGCUAGUUGGUGAGGUAACGGCUCACCAAGGCAACGAUGCGUAGCCGACCUGAGAGGGUGAUCGGCCACACUGGGACUGAGACACGGCCCAGACUCCUACGGGAGGCAGCAGUAGGGAAUCUUCCGCAAUGGACGAAAGUCUGACGGAGCAACGCCGCGUGAGUGAUGAAGGCUUUCGGGUCGUAAAACUCUGUUGUUAGGGAAGAACAAGUGCUAGUUGAAUAAGCUGGCACCUUGACGGUACCUAACCAGAAAGCCACGGUUAACUACGUGCCAGCCGCCGCCGUAA
rnacentral:rRNA from 1 species